UACGAAGGGGGCUAGCGUUGUUCGGAAUUACUGGGCGUAAAGCGCACGUAGGCGGACAUUUAAGUCAGGGGUGAAAUCCCGGAGCUCAACUCCGGAACUGCCUUUGAUACUGGGUGUCUUGAGUGUGGAAGAGGUGAGUGGAAUUCCGAGUGUAGAGGUGAAAUGCGUAGAUAUCAGGAGGAACACCGGUGGCGAAGGCGGCCCUCUGGACGGUGACUGACGCUGAGACGCGAAAGCGUGGGGAGCAAACAGG
rnacentral:rRNA from 1 species